rnacentral:rRNA from 2 species
AAUCCAUAGGUUAAUGAGGCGAACCGGGGGAACUGAAACAUCUAAGUACCCCGAGGAAAAGAAAUCAACCGAGAUUCCCCCAGUAGCGGCGAGCGAACGGGGAGGAGCCCAGAGCCUGAAUCAGCAUGUGUGUUAGUGGAAGCGUCUGGAAAGGCGCGCGAUACAGGGUGACAGCCCCGUACACAAAAGCGCAUGUGCUGUGAGCUCGAUGAGUAGGGCGGGACACGUGGUAUCCUGUCUGAAUAUGGGGGGACCAUCCUCCAAGGCUAAAUACUCCUGACUGACCGAUAGUGAACCAGUACCGUGAGGGAAAGGCGAAAAGAACCCCGGCGAGGGGAGUGAAAAAGAACCUGAAACCGUGUACGUACAAGCAGUGGGAGCACAGGUUUACCUGUGUGACUGCGUACCUUUUGUAUAAUGGGUCAGCGACUUAUAUUCUGUAGCAAGGUUAACCGUAUAGGGGAGCCGUAGGGAAACCGAGUCUUAACCGGGCGUUAAGUUGCAGGGUAUAGACCCG